rnacentral:precursor_RNA from 15 species
GCCAUUGGGAAGAACUUCCAAAUUGACGGGAUCACAGAUCCAUUUGGGUAUUUUAGUAUGUGAGGAAGUACCCAAAGGAUCUGUGAUUUCGUAAGUUUGGACAACCCUACGUGGGGAAC